rnacentral:lncRNA from 1 species
AUGGGAAAAGAAAAAAUGUUUGGGGAUUCUUCUUUUUUUUUCUGUCUUCAGGUAAUUUUGGAAAAGCAGCUUAUGCUGAAGAAGGGCAGGUUGGUUUUAUUUCAGACACACACAACCUGCUGUGCCACUUCUCACAGCUCUCUCCUUUUUAAUACCCACUGUGUAACAGGAUCAAUGUCCUUUGCACGGCGCAGUGCUCUUCACACAGCUGAGAUUUCCAGGGGUGGUUACAGCAAAGGAUGUUUCGAUUUCUGGCACAUCAAGCCUGAUGCUCAGGAAGAGCCAAAACAUGAAACUCCCCAAGACCUUUCAAUCAAUGUUGGUAACGUUUUGAGGAUGGAGUUCUGUUUUAAUUGUGUCCCUGUGACAUCUCACUUUUCCAGUUAUUGGAGUCAGCACGUUCUCACCAACUUUGGCUGGGGUUUCCAUCACGCAUCUGCUUCAUUUUCUACCAGGGCCAGCUACUUUCUGGUGGCCAUAAAGCCAAAGAGAUGCUCCAAGCCCUCAACCCUAGGAUCUGAGCAGGCUGUAGACAUCUGCCUCAGCUGGAUUUUGCACUGUAGGUCAGACUCAGAUGUCAGAGGGUCCCGAGUGGGAUGCUAUUAUCUGAAAACUUCCUUCUCUGUAGGGCUGCUUUGUUUUGUUUUUUUUUUUUCUGGAUAUCUGGGAAAGCUGUGCUGUUGUAGGGAGUGGGUGCUGGGUCAGGUUCCUGCAGCAUGGCCUGAGGAAGGCUGUGCAGAUGCUGAACUAGAAAUGCUGGUUCUGCAGAUGCUGACCCCUCCCUGGGAUAAGGAUCUACCUACUGGGCCUUCGGAGCCAUAUUUAUAUUUAAUAGGAGGAAGGAUUGAAGGUAACCUUUCGUGGUUGGAAAUUUCCCCCCAGAACAGCCUCCCACCACCUCCUCCACCUCAGAUCUGGGCUUUUGACCCAACCCUGUGUCUGGAGGCUUCCCAUGCUGUGACCACUCCACAUCCCAGCAGAACUGGUGCAAGAGAGGGACCAGAAUUUUUCUGGUUGAAAGCAAGGUUGGUGGCUCAACCUCACCUCAGAAUGUCUCACUGCCUCCAUGCAGUCUCCAGAGGGACAGGAACAUUUUGGAGGUACCUACAGUUGUAA